AUAAAAAUAAUGUACUAACAAAAAUCAUAUAUCAAAAUGUAUAAUAAUGAAUAUGCUAAAGCUUAAGGAGAUACUUCACCUCAAUCAUUCUUUUUCAUUUAUUUUGUGAAGAAUUUUCUAAAUCUUCAAAUUCAUUGUCCUUUUGUUGCACAAUUUCAUAGGAAUCACGAGGUCGUACCUUUCUCGCUACACACCAACCUCUAUUGGAAUUAUCAUUUGCAUAAAAUACUUGAGAGGCUUGAUCAGCUAAUACAAAAGGCUUAUUUAUUUUCAGAAAUCAC
rnacentral:lncRNA from 1 species